CACACAUGGGUGCGGCAGCAAUCCUGCCAUCCGGUGUUGUUUUUUGGCAGUCGCGCUGCGCUAACGCAACCGCUCCUGCUACAGCAGAAAACAGCUCUCACCCAUGGAGGUUUAACCGGUAAAAGGAGAUUGGC
rnacentral:sRNA from 10 species